AGAUCCCUGCUUGGUCUCCGCUGCCUGCGCCGCAGCAACUCAGACCUUACAGUUCGCAACCCCGGACCGAGUAGGCUGAAAGUGGAGACCACCUCGCGCUCCUUUGCUGCCGGGAAACUGAGGGCCAGAGCGUCUUCCCUGGUGUCGGGCUGCGUUGAGCCAGCCACAGCGCUCUCACCGCUGCCCUAGACAUUGCAGGACUGCGGCCGAGCUUCCCGGACACAGGAUCCCCCUUCUUUCGAGGCCAUGAGAGCUGUUGGGUUCCCUACUUCGCACAAGCUCUGGAAAUACUGUGCCUCGACAUUUACCGGAAGCUGUUAUAAAUCUCCAUCGCUCCCACCUACCCCGAUUUUUAUUUAACUUGAGGGCUUCGUAUGCGCCAUGCACUGUCAUAAGCACUUUAAAUGUGUGAAUUCAUGUGUUGCUCAUGACAGCCCAGUGAGCUGUCUACUGUCUUUUCCACAACAGCCUCAUUUUACAGAUGAGAAAACUGAGACACAAAAAUGGUAAAGGACUUGCUCAAGAUGAAACGACGAGUUAAAUGGUGUAGUCAGGAUUUGAACUCAGUUAUUCUGAUUUCAGGUGGACUGUCAAUCUGCCACACUUCAAAACGCUUGCUCCAAUGAGUUGACUAACCCGUGGAGUGCUUAUAAGUAAACACGCGGCUUAUAAAACAGGAGGAUGAUUUCACAGUACCAAUAUAAAGUGACCUCCAACGUAUACGGGUUUUUUUCUUUUUUAAAAAAAAGCGAAGUUUAAUGAAGGAAGGGAAACAAAAGUAUAUGUAUU
rnacentral:lncRNA from 10 species